CCUACGGGAGGCAGCAGUGAGGAAUAUUGGUCAAUGGACGAGAGUCUGAACCAGCCAAGUAGCGUGAAGGAUGACUGCCCUAUGGGUUGUAAACUUCUUUUAUAAAGGAAUAAAACGAGGCACGUGUGCCUUUUUGCAUGUACUUUAUGAAUAAGGAUCGGCUAACUCCGUGCCAGCAGCCGCGGUAAUACGGAGGGUCCGAGCGUUAUCCGGAUUUAUUGGGUUUAAAGGGAGCGUAGAUGGGUUGUUAAGUCAGUUGUGAAAGUUUGCGGCUCAACCGUAAAAUUGCAAUUGAUACUGGCAGUCUUGAGUACAGUUGAGGUAGGCGGAAUUCGUGGUGUAGCGGUGAAAUGCUUAGAUAUCACGAAGAACCCCGAUUGCGAAGGCAGCUUACUAGACUGUGACUGACAUUGAUGCUCGAAAGUGUGGGGAUCAAACAGGAUUAGAUACCCGUGUAGUC
rnacentral:rRNA from 1 species